CAAAACCGAGAAAAGUUGUCUAUGAAAAUAACAUAGUAUCUAAACCCUUGCACUGACAUUAUUGGAGCAGGUCCCCAUAGGUCACAAUGUAUCUUCUAGAGAGGCCUGGAGGUUGUCGUGCUUGAGAGGGUGAAAGGUAAUCUUGAGCUUUUACCAAACUGACAUGCUUCACACAAUCCUUUGGAGCUCUUAUUAAUGUGAACUGCUUUGAUCUUUGACAGUUGCUGAAGGACUUGGGAGUUUGGAUGCCCUAACCUCAUGUGCCAAACAUCCUCAGAAGCUGAUAGUUGACGUGUAGAGUAGUAGGCAUGAACAGGGGUGUCCUUCAGAACAUAAAGACCCUUAAUGUUGUUUCCCAGAACCAGCACUCUCUUUGUUGCCUUAUCAACCACACGCACAGUGUCACAGUCAAAAUUCACAGAGCAUGGAUAGUCAUUGGUAAGUUUAGAUACUGAAAGUAAUGAUUUUUCAAUAUUUGGGCAAACUAGCACAUCUGUUAGAGGUAGCUUACCUGAGCUUGAAGAGAUGCUGGUUGAACCAGUGUGUGUGAUAGGCAGGAAAUCACCAUUGCCAACCAUGAUUGUGUCUGAUCCUCCAUAUUGUUGUGAAUGUUGCAGGUUGUGAGGAGAAUUUGUGAUGUGUGCUGUUGCACCACUGUCUCCAACCCACUCAUGACCAUUGUGAUCUGUAACAUCAGUGAUUCUCAUAGCAGCUAAGGCAGCAGGUAACUCUUCAUAUUGAUAAAUGUUGUUGAAUCUAUGCCAACAUUUCAGAGCUGGAUGACCUGGUUUUCCACAUAUUUGACACACAAUCUUGUUUUCUGAGUUGUAGGAACCAGUGGAGGAAGAACUCUGAGUUAUUUGCUGUGGGAAGCCUCUUCCUUUUGUAGUGUAGUAGCCUCCUCUUCCACGGGAACCACCAGAUUUACCAUAGGAGUUUCCUCUUCCUCUACCAUUGGAGUUACCAGAAUCAUUUGUGUAAAAGGCCAUAUGAGGUGAGAUCUCCACACCAACAUUGUAGCUCAGAAGUCUGUCAGCAUAACUUUUGAGAUGAGGACUGAUAUCUUCAAAGGUAGGAGCAGGUGACAAAUCUAUCAUUCCUUCUAUAGAGACUUUGAUGGGUUCAUACUCUCUACCUAAGCCUUUUAAUGCAGCAAAAAUCUUUAUCUUUUCAGAGACAGGACUGCCUAUGGAAGCUAGUUGCUCACAAACAUUCUUGAUAUCUCUUAGGUAAUCACUCAUAGACUUAUCUAGCUUUUGAGAUGUUUGUAGUUUACUCUAUAGCUCAAAUAGUCUAGAAGAUGAUACCUUGUUGAAAUGUUUUGCAAGAGCUGACCACAGUUCCUGAGCUGUUUUUGUUCCUGUGACUUCAGCAAGGAUGUCUUCAGAGAGAGAGCCAAGAAGCCAAGCUCUGACGAUUUGAUCUGCUCUAAACCAUUCACUGUAAUCUGGAUUUGGAACUGUUAGAGCCAUUCCACCAACUUGAGGAGCUUGAAGCAUUGCAGCAGGAGCAGGAGAUGACCCAUUCACAAAUCCAAGUAAGUCUUGACCCGACAAAAAAGAUUCAAACUGUGAUUUCCAAGAGAUAUAGUUCUUUUGUGUUAAUUUUGGGGUAACACAGUUUAAGAUGUUUAGUUUAGGAUAAUUAUAGAGAUCCAUGGUUGGAUUAACCAUGGCUCUGAUACCAUAAAAAUAGAGAGCUUUUAGAUGAAAGGUGUGAAGGAGACUGAAAUGAUUUCCAUCUUAUUUCUCUCUUUUGUUUUCGAUUACAUUAAGGUUUCACAUUUAUACUAGACUAACUAGGUUAACUUUGAUCCUCAUCCAUUAGAGCCUCAAACCUAUUGGUCAGCUUAAUAUCUUGACCAAGACAGCUGUCAUUGUUGCUUUUACUUUUGAGCAGCUUCCUGGAGGUUUCCUUCUCAACAAUCUCACAUUUGUCUUCUUGUUCUUUUGCAGUGGACCGUUGGAGAGUUGAAGACUGACUGGGCUCAAGCUUGCUGGGCUUGGUUUGUUCUGUUGGAGACUUGGGCUUCCAGACUGAUGUUAUGUUGUUGGACUUGGGCCUGUUUUCUGAUAAGGGCAUCUUUGGCUCCUGUUUUGUCUUCUUGUUGUCUGAAACCGAGAAACCCUUUUUCUCUUUAGCUAGGUUAGAAUCUUCAGCUUCUUCUUUUGUUGAGAUUGGAUCUCUGUUCUUAAUAGACACAUGGUGGAUGCAUGAUCCCUUGUAAUGGAGUGGCUUACCACUCUUCCCUAUGCCUUUCUCGCCGGUACAUAAGGCCCAGAAGUUCUCGGUCGUCCGCGGUGUCGUGUCUGCGAAGAGCUCCAUCACGAUCCGAUCGACCGGUUUGCCGUCGACGGUCAUAUCAAAGAAAACUUUAGGGUUAGACAUUUUCGGAGAUGAAUAUUAGGGUUUGUAUAUACAAGGAUGGAUUCAUAUAUAUAGAGAAGCGAUGCUGAUACAUAUCAAAACUGAAAGAUAUGCAUUGUGGAUUAAGUAAGAUAUGCAUUUCUGUUGAUGUAUUCUUAAUGAGUUUUAUAUCAAGAUGA
rnacentral:lncRNA from 1 species